GACGAACGCUGGCGGCGUGCUUAACACAUGCAAGUCGAACGGAAAGGCCUUUUCGGAGGUACUCGAGUGGCGAACGGGUGAGUAACACGUGGGUGAUCUGCCCUGCACUCUGGGAUAAGCCUGGGAAACUGGGUCUAAUACCGGAUAGGACCGCACUUUAGUGUGUGUGGUGGAAAGUUUUUUCGGUGUAGGAUGAGCCCGCGGCCUAUCAGCUUGUUGGUGGGGUAAUGGCCUACCAAGGCGGCGACGGGUAGCCGGACUGAGAGGGUGGUCGGCCACAUUGGGACUGAGAUACGGCCCAGACUCCUACGGGAGGCAGCAGUGGGGAAUAUUGCACAAUGGGCGCAAGCCUGAUGCAGCGACGCCGCGUGGGGGAUGACGGCCUUCGGGUUGUAAACGCCUUUCGCCAGGGACGAAGCGUUUUGUGACGGUACCUGGAGAAGAAGCACCGGCUAACUACGUG
rnacentral:rRNA from 1 species